UAUUGGUCAAUGGUCGAGAGCCUGAACCAGCCAAGUCGCGUGAGGGAGUACUGCCCUAUGGGUUGUAAACCUCUUUUGUCGGGGAGCACAAGCCGGACGUGUCCGUCUGUGAGAGUACCCGAAGAAAAAGCAUCGGCUAACUCCGUGCCAGCAGCCGCGGUAAUACGGAGGAUGCGAGCGUUAGCCGGCUUUAUUGGGUUUAAAGGGUGCGCAGGCGUUCUGUUAAGUCAGCGGUCAAAGCCCGGGGCUCAACCCCGGCCCGCCGUUGAAACUGGCAGUCUCGAGUUGGAGAGAAGUAUGCGGAAUGCGCGGUGUAGCGGUGAAAUGCAUAGAUAUCGCGCAGAACUCCGAUUGCGAAGGCAGCAUGCCGGCUCCACACUGACGCUGAGGCACGAAAGCGUGGGUAUCGA
rnacentral:rRNA from 1 species